GGAGAGGUGUCAGAGUGGUCGUAAUGUACCGGUUUUGAAAACCGGCGUAGCGCAAGCUACCGAGGGUUCGAAUCCCUCUCUCUCCG
rnacentral:tRNA from 2 species